AGAUUGAACGCUGGCGGCAGGCCUAACACAUGCAAGUCGGGCGGUAACAGGAGAAAGCUUGCUUUCUUGCUGACGAGCGGCGGACGGGUGAGUAAUGUAGUGGGGAUCUGCCCGAUAGAGGGGGAUAACUACUGGAAACGGUGGCUAAUACCGCAUGACGUCUACGGACCAAAGCAGGGCUCUUCGGACCUUGCGCUAUCGGAUGAACCCAUAUGGGAUUAGCUAGUAGGUGGGGUAA
rnacentral:rRNA from 1 species